UUCCUUUUCAGUCAUAGUGCGCAGGCGCGUAGAGGAGGAGCGACGUUUGUGUUUGCAGGGUGAAAAUGGCCGACAUGGAGAUGGAGGUAGACGGAAAAAGCGUGGACAGCGGCAAAGAGCAGGAAGGAGAAGAUGCAGAGAGCUCUGAGAAAAGCGGAAAUGAAGAGAAUGGAGACAUAUCGGGGGAAGGAAAAGCUGAGUCCAAACCCAGCAAACACAAGAAGAAGAAACACAAACACAGGAGUAAACACAAGAAACACAAACACUCCUCUGAAGAGGAGAAGGACAGAAAGCAUAAGCACAAGCAUAAACAUAAGAAACACAAGCGCAAGGAGACAGCUGACGCCAACAAACAAGAUGGCACCCCUUCCAAACCACCCAAGUUUGAUGACAUGGCAGUCUUGGAAGAUCUGGAGAAACAGAGGGCUAUGAUAAAAGCAGAGCUAGAUAAUGAACUGAUAGAAGGGAAGGUCAAGUCAGGAAUGGGUUUAAUAUUGCAGGGUUAUAACUCGGGUUCAGAGGAGGAGGGUGAGAUUCAGGACAGGAUGAGAAAUGGUGAAAGAGGCCCUUCCAAUGCUUUGGCCCUCAAAGGCCAGGGCUUGCAGCUUGUUAAGGAUUCCAAAACUAAAAAAGAUCCUGCAGAGAGCAAGUCAAGCUCAAAGAGGAGAAGCAGGAGUAAGUCCAAAGACAGGACAAAGCAUAAAUCUGAUAAAAAGAAAAAUAAGGGUAGCACCAGUGAAGGAGGGACAAAGGAGAAGACAAAAGCACGGAGCAGAUCAAAAGAAAGGAAACGCUCGAAAAGCCCUGCAAGGAGAAGCCGGUCCAAAGAGCGGACAAAAAAGUCCAAGUCCCCGACAUCCAAGAGGCGUUCUUUGCUAGAGCAGGCUAAGAAAUCGACAUCUCCAACCACAACCGAAACAGAAAAGAGCAGAGCAAAGGAAAGGAAGAAGUCACCACCUGUCAAUGAGAGCAAAAGCAGGGAGCGAAGCCGGAAGUCCAAAUCUCCCCCGGCAGAGAGGAGGAGCAAAUCCCGGGAACGGAAGUCCAGGUCCAAGGAGAGGAAGUCUAGGAGAUCAGAGACUGAGAGAGACAAGAAGCCUACUAAGUCUCCUUCAAAGGAUGCCUCUUCAGGAAAGGAAAAUCGGUCCCCUAGCAGGAAACGUGGGCACAGUCCUCAACGCUGCAGCUCUUCUCCAAAACAGAGAGACAGAACAUCCAAGCGCAGCAGGUCACCCCCUUCUGCUGCUGCAGUAACAGAUAGGAAGUCUUCUUCCCGAAAUAUAUCUCCUUCUAGAAGGGCAAGGAGCAGAUCACCUGAUCGGAGACGGCGAGAAUUAGAUCGACAGAGACCUUCUCCAGUCAGAAUGAGACAGCUUGACAGAUCGCGGGAUGCAAGCCCACUGCCCCCCAGGAGACGGCUCAGUAGGUCCCCGUUGAGGAGGCGGUCCCCACGCAGGAGGAGCAGAUCUCCUUUCAGGAGGAGAUCUUUAGAUCGAGACAGAAUGAUGAGGAGAAGCCGAUCCAGACUGCGGCGGAGAUCAAGGUCCAGGGAUAGACGCCAGAGGCGCAGCAGAGAUCAGGACAAGUUUAAAGGCAGCCUUUCUGAAGGGAUGAAAAUUGAUCACGAGUCCUCCUCUGAUGAAGUCUUGGAAGAUUAUGAUGUAGAUGACGAGGAUGAGGAAGCCCUUAUUGAACAAAGACGGUUGCAGAGACUGGCUAUUGUGCAGAAAUACAAGUCUGUGAAUGAAGACAGCAACAUGUCUGUACCAUCUGAGCCCAGCAGCCCCCAGAGCAGCUCCCGCAGUCGCUCACCCUCUCCUGAUGAGAUAUUGGAAAGGGUGGCUGCAGACGUGAAGGAAUAUGAGAGGGAGAAUAUGGACACCUUUGAAGCUAAUGUGAAAGCCAAGCACAGUCUGAUUGCAGUUGAAAAAGAUGGUUCGAAUCCAAAAAAACCCUUGGCUCCUGAUAUGUUUACAGAAUCUGACGACAUGUUUGCAGCAUAUUUUGACAGCGCCAGACUUAGAGCUGCUGGCAUUGGCAAGGAUUUCAAGGAAAACCCCAACCUCAGGGACAACUGGACUGAUGCAGAGGGCUACUAUCGUGUGAAUAUUGGAGAGGUUUUGGACAAGCGUUACACUGUCUAUGGCUAUACAGGUCAGGGCGUCUUCAGUAACGUGGUACGAGCCAGAGAUAUGGCCAGAGCCAGCCAGGAGGUGGCCGUUAAAAUUAUUAGGAACAAUGAGCUCAUGCAGAAAGCAGGACUUAAAGAACUGGAGUUCUUAAAGAAGCUCAACGAUGCUGAUCCAGAUGACAAGUUCCAUUGCUUACGGCUUUUCAGGCAUUUCUACCACAAGCAGCAUCUCUGUUUGGUGUUCGAGCCACUCAGCAUGAAUUUGCGUGAGGUUUUGAAGAAGUAUGGCAAAGAUGUGGGUCUCCAUAUAAAAGCAGUCCGAUCAUAUAGCCAGCAGCUUUUCCUGGCUCUGAAACUUCUAAAAAGGUGUAAUAUCCUACAUGCUGAUAUCAAACCUGACAACAUCCUGGUGAAUGAAUCCAAGACAAUUCUUAAAUUGUGUGACUUUGGCUCAGCUUCACAUGUUGCAGACAAUGACAUCACCCCAUACCUUGUCAGCCGAUUCUACCGAGCACCUGAAAUUAUCAUUGGAAAGCCUUAUGACUAUGGGUUAGACAUGUGGUCAGUGGGCUGCACACUUUAUGAACUCUACACAGGAAAGAUCCUGUUUCCUGGCAAAACGAACAACCACAUGGUGAAACUUGCAAUGGACCUUAAGGGCAAAAUACCAAAUAAGAUGAUUAGAAAAGGCUUGUUCAAGGACCAGCACUUUGAUCAGAAUUUGAACUUCUUGUAUAUCGAAGUAGAUAAAGUCACUGAAAGGGAGAAAGUUACAGUGAUGAGCACUAUUAAUCCUACCAAGGACCUGUUAGCUGACAUGGUGGGAUGUCAACGCCUGCCUGAAGAUCAGCGCAAAAAAGUCAUUCAGGUCAAGGACUUGCUUGAUCAAAUUCUGAUGCUGGACCCAGCCAAGAGGAUAAGCAUCAAUCAGGCACUGCAGCACCCGUUUAUCCAGGAGAAAAUCUAACCACAUUUACGUAACGGCUUUAAGUAAAAAUAAAUCAACAAAUAAGUACAAAGACUGAAGGAUUUAUUUUUAAGUUGUGACAUUUUUUUUCACCCACAUUUAAUACAGUAUAUUUUAUUUUUCUGAAGUACAGCUAAAGUAGGGAUCCAAGAAUUUAAGGAGACCUGCUAGAUAUUCAGUAUCUACUCCACAUAUUGGCAGUUGGGUACCACCCGAUUGCCCUGCACGGUUUAUCUUUCCUGGCCUUUCCCACUCAUCUUUGCUGAUGUCGUCAAAAGCUGACCUAGAGUUGUAAAAUAUUCUUAUUAAAAAGCUUAAUCUUGGAUCCCUGCAGGUAUACUUUUACUGAUGAAUGAUUUAAUUCCUGUAAAUUGAUUUGUGCAUUGUUCAGAUUUUGAUUAUAUAAAGUUGUAUUGUAGUUGCCAAGGCUGCACAGAAAAAUGAACUUUCUAUGGUUGUACAAGCCAGCUUUUACAUGCAUAUUUGUUUUUACAAUACAAAAAGUUCUUGGGUUUUUUAUUUUAUAUAAAUGUAUGUGCAGAUUUGGCAACAUUGCUUUCUGUAAAAUGGCCAGCGUAAAUGCUGUUUAUAUUCACAUCUUCCUAGGUGUAUGUGUGCAGGCCACAGCAGCAUGCCCUUGGUGUAGUCUGUGCCGAAGGGGGUCUGUUCUUCUUGAGCCUGCCAGCAGGGAUGGUCUCCUCUUUUAAAGCAGGUUGUGUACCACUUUCAGUACACUGAAGAGAUUGAAAUCAAGUUAUGCUACUAUGUCUGGAGGCACAGUCUACGUCAUCCACUCCGUGGUUCUGCUUUGAAUGAGACAAGACCUUCACCUACUUAACAAGGUCAUUUCAGAUGGCAUGUGUAGAUAAACAUGUGGCAGCAAAUGAGUAGUACUAACAUUAUCAACUUGAUAAAUCUGUAUAGGUAAAUGUGAAAAAGUUAAUAAAGAUCUGCAGCCUUUUCUUUCACCUAUAAAGUGUAUAUGAUCCCGGAGGAGGAGAAGGCUCACAAGUAUUGUGUAUUCUAGAAAUAUAAAUACUUCUUUUUCCUUUCUGAGAUGCUGGGAUUUUACAGCAAAAGCCAGGGUCAUCAAGGCAGGGGGGAGAUGGACUGGUUAUUUUGCUGUCAGAUUUUACCACCAAGAUGCCUCAACAUAUAGAGUGCACCUUUUGUAUAUCUAAUCCUUUCCCUCCUUAGGAACAUUAAAUAAGAGUGGGAGGAAUAAAAUGGGCUAUUCCUGGCUGGAACAUGGAAAUUCAUUUCCGCUAUAUACUACAACCUUAGUUGUACAGUGUGUAGAAAGAAAAAGGAGUUUAGUCCUUGCUGGAACACGGAAAUCCAUUUCAGAUAUACAGUGCUGUUUAAAAUGUUUACAUGUAAAUUAUGCGUUUUAUUAAACUUGUAGAUAAUUUCAAAUGGCAUAUAGCAGUUGCUAGAGUGAGAGCAUUGGAGUAUUCUUUUUUUUGUCAAUUUCACUUUUUAUAGAGGCAGAUAUCUCAUUUUUUUAUUUUUUUAAUUGGGUUACGGACUAGUCUAGAGAAGUAGUGGUACAUUGCACUGCAAUCAGUAGUUCAUUGUUGCCUAAUAGUUUGGUAACAAACUAUGGUAAAAUGAACAGUUUCGGUCAAAAUAUUUUACAAAAGAUGCAUCAAGAUGCUUGUUCAUGUGUUUUUUGUAUCGUAGGUGCAGUCCAACGGACGACAACAAGAAAAAUCAAGACCUGAACAAAGGUUUCUGUCCUAGAAAGAGCGGUUUUAUUUAAAGCACUUCUCCCUUUGACAUUGUUGUACACUGCUGCUUUAAUUCAGCAACUUCUAUACCGUAGGAACGUUUGGUGGAAAGUAGCUACCCUACAUAAAGUCUUCAUAAAGUCGAAUGAAACCUGCUGAAUAAUGUUGCCUUAACAUAUUGAAUUGCAUACCGCUUUGUAGUUUUCCAUAUACUUCUCAAAAUGUGACAUUUCAAAAUCUAACAUGAAAUACUGUACAAUUAUUGCUUCCGAUAGACCUUUGCGAUAUCAUUUUGUAGUUUCUUUGAUUACAUGAUGUUAAAUAAGUGAUCUAAAUUAUGAUUUUAUUUUUUAUAUAUAUAUAU